rnacentral:rRNA from 1 species
GAGGAAAAGAAACCAACAGGGAUUGCCCCAGUAACGGCGAGUGAAGCGGCAACAGCUCAAAUUUGAAAUCUGGCCCCCAGGGCCCGAGUUGUAAUUUGCAGAGGAUGCUUUUGGCGCGGUGCCUUCCGAGUUCCCUGGAACGGGACGCCAUAGAGGGUGAGAGCCCCGUCUGGUCGGACGCCUAGCCUGUGUAAAGCUCCUUCGACGAGUCGAGUAGUUUGGGAAUGCUGCUCUAAAUGGGAGGUAUAUGUCUUCUAAAGCUAAAUACCGGCCAGAGACCGAUAGCGCACAAGUAGAGUGAUCGAAAGAUGAAAAGCACUUUGAAAAGAGGGUUAAAUAGUACGUGAAAUUGUUGAAAGGGAAGCGCUUGUGACCAGACUUGGGCCCGGUGGAUCAUCCAGCGUUCUCGCUGGUGCACUCCGCCGGGUUCAGGCCAGCAUCAGUUCGCCGCGGGGGAAAAAGGCUUCGGGAACGUGGCUCCUACGGGAGUGUUAUAGCCCGUUGCAUAAUACCCUGGGGCGGACUGAGGUUCGCGCUCCGCAAGGAUGCUGGCGUAAUGGUCAUCAGCGACCC